CCUGGCGGCACUAGCUCGGUGGUCCCACCUGACCCCAUGCCGAACUCAGAAGUGAAACGCCGUAGCGCCGAUGGUAGUGUGGGGUCUCCCCAUGCGAGAGUAGGGAACUGCCAGGC
rnacentral:rRNA from 1 species